rnacentral:lncRNA from 1 species
AAAGAUUCAACGACCAUAUUCAGUCUCUCACUUCAAACCUAAAGAGACUCCUAACCCUAAUCAUUCUAUCACCCAACCGGCCGCCCUUCUUUCCCCUUCUUCUUUCUUUUCUCUCAUCUACAUCAAACCCAUCCAUCCAAAAACCUUGCACAAAUUUGUGCAAGGUCACAUGAAUCAAAUUCAAAUCAUCCUUUCUGUCCCUGCUAACUGAGAAUCCAACCUGAAACUUUCCCCUUUCAUCACUUUGAUUCAAACUCUGAACCGCUUAAAAUGCUAAACCUAUCGAUACAUGGGUAUAUCAUCGUCCUUCCUCUGUUCCGUCGAAUCGAAGCAAGCAUGACCAUUAUAUUCAACUUCAUCAUCAUUAUUCGAUGUCCAGAGGUCAAACACACUGACCUCUAAACAUUAGGAUUUGACCGAUUGUCCAAUGGCUUCAACGGUCGACCUCCUCGUGCUAGGUAAAGUCAUACAAUGUUUUUCCCUAUUUUCCUUCUAAUUUUCACAUGCUUUCUAUCAUCAUCCAUCUAUUGUCUGUCCCCCACUAUCAAUUUGAAUUCAAUCGGAACCCUAAGUCUUGAAGGCCACUAUAAAUAGGGCCUUAAAUGUUCUCACCUAACAGACACCAUCACAUCUAACAACGACUAAAAAUACAUUGAAAGUAAAAAAAGAACAUUAAAGGUUCAAGUUUUUUGCUAUGUUUAAGUCCAGUAGCUGCUCUCUAAUUUCUCUAUUCUUCUUUUAAUUGCUGUUCGAGUUCGACCUAUGUGAGUUGAUCGUUGUUGGUUUUGGGUUCUAAAAUGACUAACAACUGACUCUUGGUUUUCUGCUCUAUAGAAGGUCAGUGUACACUAACCCUCUCUCUAUCUUUUAAUUAACUGUGCAAUUUUGUAUUUAUGAUGUUUUCUUUGUUAAUCACCUUUUGUUUAUGAUAUAUAUCAGUGGUAUAUGACUAUACUUGUUAUGUUUUGCUUUACAUGCCAUUUUCAUUGAUUGAGUUGAUAAUUUCCUUAUAAGUUAUGUUGUUUUGGUACUGCUAGCCAAUCUAUGUUGUUAAUGAAUUCCAUCUCCCAUAACUUAGCUAGAUAAAAUAUUUUCAGUGAUGUUGAUACUCUUAUGGACAAAUUCUGUUGAACUUUUUAUCAUCAGUUGGGCUAAACAUUAUGUUGCUCCUAUGUAUGUUCCAUCCAUGUCAGUUAAAUGAUAACUAUACUAUCAUGUUAUCUAAAUCAAUCGAGUUAUACUCUUAAGCUUCUCCUGAUGUCCCGUUAAGACUUCACAACUGUUAAACUAUGCUAUACUGAUUCUUAUGUUUGUGAUGUUAUGCCACAUUGUUUUAGUUCAAAAUAAAACUGAUUCUCAUUACAGCUUAUGUAUUGCAGUUGAUCCAUCUGCUUUGAAGACCUUAGUUGAUAGUUUUGUUGUUGAAAUCAUGUUUGUUCUAUGCAAUUAAUGAUUCAUGGAAGGCUGUCAUUAUAGUUUGAAACCAUGUAUUGGACCUUAAUGACAUACCCUGCUAAUGAACCUGUCUACAUGUCCAAAUUGUUAACUUAUUGGGAUCUAUUUGCUUUACCAAAUUAAAAAUGAAUGUCAUCGUUUGAUUGUCUCAUGCCUGUUGAUAUCACUGUCUAUAGAGAACUAAAUUGAGAAACUAAAGUCGUUUUGAUCUGGUAGUUUAACAAUCUGAUAGACUAUAUGAUGUCACAUGCCAUUUUCAUUAGGACUAAAAGUUGGCUUUUCCUAUUUAUGAUGACAUCUUUGUUGACUUUGCUGUUUGGUUUGAUUUUUUGGGAGCUCUGGAUGAUGUUGUUGGCCCGAGUGCUUAAUAAGACUUAAUCGUGUGCCUGCUUGUUAAGUUGCUCUGAACAUUGUCAUAUUGAUUUGCAAUUUGCUCAAAAUGGUUUGAACUUCCUUAGGAAAGGCCUUGAGUGGUGAAUCUUAGGGGAGAACGACAGAAGGAGUAUACAUAUUUAUCUCUGACACCUUAGACUGCAUAGCUUAGCAUCUCUGACAUUAAAAUUGUAAAUAGAACCUAACUAAUUGGCAACAUGUAGUCAGUUAUUUACACUUCACAUCUUCUGCUAGACUACAUCUUGGUAAUGACCUUCAUCAAGUAUUAUGUGCAUAUUAUGAUCAAUCUUAAGGCCCCUGAUAUUAUUAGAACACUGGAAGUUUAGCUGCAGUGAUAUAUAUUUGUAUUAGUGUUCUGCCAACAUGUCCAAAGGUCAAUAUUGUGAUUGGUUCAUAUCUUUCUAUUCUAAUGAUAGUGUAAUAUCCUCUAUAACUGUUCAUUUCAAGUAGUUGACACUUCCUUUGUGUCUAAACCUUUGAGGAAUAGUAAGAGUGGAUGACUAAAGUUAUUUGUGUGUGAACUUGUUUUGUAAUCGAGGUACCCAUCCCUGGCACAAGCACUGCUCGGGUUCUUGAGAACCUUGCAAACUCUGAAGUGUCAGGUGUCCAUAGGGGGAUUUCGUAAAUAGAACACGGUUCACCCUAAGCCUUUGAUCAUUAACCCUAGUAUUACAUCAUAGGGUUAGGAUAAAAUGAAUAACUAAAAUCAUAUAGUUCCUUUCUAGAUUUUUACUUACCUGUCAUGAUUUACUUUGUAGCUUAUGUUGAUAUAUACUAAUUGUUUUCCCUUUUUAGCAUGCAUGUUCGAGUUUGGCCUGCUGAGCUCAUUUGGAGCCAGACCUAGGCUGCUUCCUCUGCUUUCCUGCUUGUUGAGUCUACCGCCGAUUUGAAUCCUGUUGGGCCAGGCUUGCCCGCUAGCCUUAUUACAAGAGUCCAUCUCUCCUUCUUUUACCUUUAAUGAUAAUCAUUAUUAUUUAUUCGCUUUUAUGUAUAAUACGUAUUUGGAUGUAACGACUCGGCUAUUCGUUUUGAGUAUUAUAGCCCCAUUUCCCCGUUUAUUACUUAUUCUAUGCUCGUUUGUUGUUAUGUGACUUGCUAGGGUGGUUGGUUUGAUUCCGGGGAUGUUUCAGAAUGUAUUGGGAUACUUAGUCUCAUGGUUGGAAGCUCAAGUUGAAAUAGUUGACCGGAUGUUAACUUAUGAGUAAACAACUCCGGAAUGAAGUUUUGAUAGUUCCGAUAGCUCGUAUGGUCAUUUUGGACUUAGGAGUAUGUCUGGAUUUAGAUUUGGAGGUCCGUAGGUCAUUUUGGCUUGAAUUAGCGAAAGUUGAAAAGUUUGACCGAGAGUUGACUUUGUUUUUACCGGGCUCGAGUUUUUGUUAUGGGAGUUGGAAUAGGUCUGUUGUGUCAUUUAUGACUUGUGUGCAAAAUUUGAGUUCAAUUAGAGUUGAUUUGGUGUGUUUCGACAUUGGUUAUAGAAGUUGAAAGUUUAAUAGUUCAUUAAGCUUGAAUUGGGGUGCGAUUCAUAUUUUCGAUGUUGUUUGAUGUGAUUUGAGGCUUUGACUAAGUUCUUAUGAUGUUUUAGGAUGUAUUGGUAUGCUUAGAUGGGUUCUCGGGGGCCUCAGGUGAGAUUUGGAUUGGUUUCGGAUUUGAGUUUGGCCUUAUAGGAUUGCUGAUGUUCAGGUGUCUAGUUUUCUCAUAUGCGUUCGCGUGAGAAGGCCCGCGAUCAUGAAGCUUGGUGAUUUAGUGCUUCACGAACGCAUAAGAGGUGCCGCGUUCGCGAAGAAGAAAGAGGUGGCCUGGGCAGCCCACAUAGUUGUUCUUCGCAAUCGCGAGUGGGAGUCCGCGAUCGUGCAUGUCUGUGUUGUUAUGCAUCACAUUCGUGGCUGGGGUUCUACGUUCACGUAGACCAUUUUUGUGGGCAACAUAUUUGUUAUUCGUGAUCGAGAGGGACUUUCCACGUUCGCAAAGAGGAACAACUGGGCAGACUAUUUAAUUUCAAAAAUGAGGGUUAAAGUAUUAUUUCACAUUUGGACUUUGGGAGAUCAGAUUAAGGCGGUUCUUGAAGAUAUUUUCAAGGAGUUGAUUGGGGUAAGUGAUUCUAACUCGGAUUUGUUUAAUAUACAUGAAUAUAUCAUUAUUUGUACUACUAAAUUAGUUUUUCGGGUUGGACACAUUGGGGAAAAUUGUAAAAACUUCAUAAACUAUAUUUUGAGGAUUUGAAUGGCGAUUUGAGGUCAGAAUUGGAUGAUUUUAGUAUGGUUGGACUCGUUAUUGAAUGGGUGUUCGGAUUAUGUAAAUUUUGCCGAAUUCCAAGAUGUGGGCUCAGGGUUUACUUUUUGACUUUGGCUAAAGAACUUAGCUUUAUCAUAUGGAAUCGAUUCCUAUAGCUUGUAUUGAUUUUAUUAAGUUGUUGUGACUAGAUUCGAGUCUUUCGGAGGCCGAUUCGCAAGGCAAGGGCUUGUUGGAGUUUUGAUUUGUACGGUUUGAGGUAAGUAACACUCAGUCUGUAUGGUCAUUUAUUGUUACAUCAUGUAUCAUUGUUUGGGCUAAUUGGCAUGAGUUUUAUGAGCCCGAGAGAUUGAGAGAUUGAUGAUUGGGUUGGGGCCUGAGAGCCAUGUUAUGAGUGAGGUUGUGGGUCAGGUUGCACGCCGCAACAUGCCUUCUUGGAUUUAUAUAUAUUAUUAUUAUGGAUCAGGUUGUAUGCCGCAGCAGGCCUUAUAGGCUUUAUCUAUUAUUAUAGGAUCAGGCUGCACGCCGUAGAAGGCCAUAUUGGCUUAUAUUAGCGCUUGGAUAGGAUCCGCCCCUCCAGAGUCUUAUAUACCAGCAGUGAGCGCAGGUACUAUCCAGUUGAUUUGUGGGAGUGUGAGACAGUGAGAUUGAGUACUCAGAGAGUGUGAGUACAUAAGUUUAUCAUUGCGAUGCAUUAUAUGUAACAUGCAUAUUUGACAUGUAGACAUAGAGAUGUAACAUUUCCCAUAACAGUCAUACUUGGCAUAUUUUAUCAGUGUUGAGCUUAAAUUGUUAAACUUGAAAGCAUGUCUACAUUUUUGCACUGUGUACAAAUUGAUUAUUGGAUUUUUUGAGUUAUUACUGUCAUUUCCAUGUUAUAUCUAAAUAGUCAUUAUCUGUAUUUGGACUGUACCUUUUUGAGCUCAUCACUGCUUUCAGCCCAAGGUUAGUCCUAUUAAUUAUUGAGUACAUUGGGUCGGUUGUACUCAUAUGACACUCUACACUUUGUGUGCAGAUCAAGGUACUUCUGGGCAUGGCGGUUGCUAGACUUGGUGCAGUAUCUGCUUGGAGAUUAUUGAGGUAGCUGUUAUGACGCCCGUAGACCUCGACUAUCCUUCCUUUCAGUUUAUUUUGUACUGUUCUAUCUUUCAGACACUUGUAUUAGAGGUUUAGAUUGUGUUCAUACUUCGUAGCUCAUGUACUCGGGGACACGUGGAUUUUGGGAGAUUUUGUAGUUGAGUCAUAGUUGUGCUUAUCGAUUUUAUGAGAUUUUUCAUUGUUAAACUUAUUAUAUCAUGCUUCUAGUUUAAAAUGCAUAGUUAUUUUGUGAUUGUA